UACGUAGGGGGCAAGCGUUGUCCGGAAUCAUUGGGCGUAAAGCGCGUGUAGGCGGCUCGAAAAGUCUGGUGUGAAAUCCUGCGGCUCAACCGCAGACUGUCACUGGAUACUGUCGAGCUUGAGUCCGGAAGAGGAGAGUGGAAUUCCUGGUGUAGCGGUGGAAUGCACAGAUAUCUGGAGGAACACCGGUGGCGAAGGCGCCACUCUGGGCCGAAACUGACGCUGAGGAGCGAAAGCAUGGGUAGCAAACAGG
rnacentral:rRNA from 1 species